rnacentral:rRNA from 1 species
UACAGAGGUCUCAAGCGUUGUUCGGAUUCAUUGGGCGUAAAGGGUGUGUAGGUGGCGCCGUAAGUCGGGUGUGAAAUUUCGGAGCUUAACUCCGAAACUGCAUUCGAUACUGCGGUGCUUGAGGACUGGAGAGGAGACUGGAAUUCAUGGUGUAGCAGUGAAAUGCGUAGAGAUCAUGAGGAAGACCAGUGGCGAAGGCGGGUCUCGUGGACAGUUCCUGACACUGAGACACGA